GAUGAACGCUGGCGGCGUGCCUAAUACAAGCAAGUCGAGCGAACAGACGAGGAGCUUGCUCCUCUGACGUUAGCGGCGGACGGGUGAGUAACACGUGGAUAACCUACCUAUAAGACUGGGAUAACUUCGGGAAACCGGAGCUAAUACCGGAUAAUAUAUUGAACCGCAUGGUUCAAUAGUGAAAGACGGUUUUGCUGUCACUUAUAGAUGGAUCCGCGCCGCAUUAGCUAGUUGGUAAGGUAACGGCUUACCAAGGCAACGAUGCGUAGCCGACCUGAGAGGGUGAUCGGCCACACUGGAACUGAGACACGGUCCAGACUCCUACGGGAGGCAGCAGUAGGGAAUCUUCCGCAAUGGGCGGAAGCCUGACGGAGCAACGCCGCGUGAGUGAUGAAGGUCUUCGGAUCGUAAAACUCUGUUAUUAGGGAAGAACAAAUGUGUAAGUAACUAUGCACGUCUUGACGGUACCUAAUCAGAAAGCCACGGCUAACUACGUG
rnacentral:rRNA from 1 species